rnacentral:rRNA from 1 species
GACGUAGGGCGCGAGCGUUGUCCGGAUUUAUUGGGCGUAAAGAGCGCGUAGGCGGUCCGAUAAGUCGGCUGUGAAAGUCAGGGGCUCAACCCUUGGAAGCCGGCCGAUACUGUCGGACUAGAGUCCGGAAGAGGCGAGUGGAAUUCCCGGUGUAGCGGUGAAAUGCGCAGAUAUCGGGAGGAACACCAAUGGCGAAGGCAGCUCGCUGGGACGGUACUGACGCUGAGGCGCGAAAGCGUGGGGAGCAAACAGG